GACGAACGCUGGCGGCGUGCUUAACACAUGCAAGUCGAACGGAAAGGCCCUGCUUUUGUGGGGUGCUCGAGUGGCGAACGGGUGAGUAACACGUGAGUAACCUGCCCUUGACUUUGGGAUAACUUCAGGAAACUGGGGCUAAUACCGGAUAGGAGCUCCUGCUGCAUGGGGGGGGUUGGAAAGUUUCGGCGGUUGGGGAUGGACUCGCGGCUUAUCAGCUUGUUGGUGGGGUAGUGGCUUACCAAGGCUUUGACGGGUAGCCGGCCUGAGGGGGUGACCGGCAACAUUGGGACUGCGAUACGGCCCAGACUCCUACGGGAGGCAGCAGUGGGGAAUAUUGCACAAUGGGCGGAAGCCUGAUGCAGCAACGCCGCGUGCGGGAUGACGGCCUUCGGGUUGUAAACCGCUUUCGCCUGUGACGAAGCGUGAGUGACGGUAAUGAGUAAAGAAGCACCGGCUAACUACGUG
rnacentral:rRNA from 1 species